rnacentral:rRNA from 1 species
GACGAACGCUGGCGGCGUGCCUAACACAUGCAAGUCGAACGGUCCGGCACUCAACCGACCCUCAGUCUAACUGUAGGGGAAGUUGAGUGCCGGGUAGUGGCGGACGGGUGAGUAACGCGUGGGCAACCAACCCUGUACAGUGGGAUAACACCGGGAAACCGGUGCUAAUACCGCAUGACACCUAUAUGGUGCAUACCGUAUAGGUUAAAGGAUUUAACCGGUACAGGACGGGCCCGCGUCCCAUUAGCUAGUUGGUGAGGUAACGGCCCACCAAGGCGACGAUGGGUAGCCGACCUGAGAGGGUGACCGGCCACACUGGGACUGAGACACGGCCCAGACUCCUACGGGAGGCAGCAGUGGGGAAUAUUGCGCAAUGGGGGGAACCCUGACGCAGCGACGCCGCGUGAGCGACGAAGGCCUUCGGGUCGUAAAGCUCUGUCUUGGGACGAAGGAAAUGACGGUACCCAAGGAGAAAGCCCGGCUAACUACGUG